UGCUGUUCACCUCCCACCAUGAUUCUGAGGUCUCCCCAGCCAUGUGGAACUAUAAGUCCACUUAAACCUCUUCUUCCCUGUCUCGGGGAUACAAAUUCUCUCUUCUCACCACAUGGCUGCUGCUGGAGAAUGAAGGUGGGGUGGUGUCAGCAAUUCAAGACUGUCUUUCCUACCCUCUUCAGUGCCCAACCUUGUUAAGUUGUUUAAACCAGUUCUACUACAGAAGCCAGAGUGGCACAUGUGGCACCUGGUCAGGAUGGACUCACUAAAGGAUUUAACCCAGACUUCUGAUGAACAAAUAUUGCUGCUAUAUUAACUGAUUCACACAACAAAGUAAUAAAAUAUCGUCCUGUUGAUUUUAUUAUUUAAA